rnacentral:rRNA from 2 species
UCGAGCGGAUGAGUGGAGCUUGCUCCCUGAUUCAGCGGCGGACGGGUGAGUAAUGCCUAGGAAUCUGCCUGGUAGUGGGGGACAACGUUUCGAAAGGAACGCUAAUACCGCAUACGUCCUACGGGAGAAAGUGGGGGAUCUUCGGACCUCACGCUAUCAGAUGAGCCUAGGUCGGAUUAGCUAGUUGGUGAGGUAAAGGCUCACCAAGGCGACGAUCCGUAACUGGUCUGAGAGGAUGAUCAGUCACACUGGAACUGAGACACGGUCCAGACUCCUACGGGAGGCAGCAGUGGGGAAUAUUGGACAAUGGGCGAAAGCCUGAUCCAGCCAUGCCGCGUGUGUGAAGAAGGUCUUCGGAUUGUAAAGCACUUUAAGUUGGGAGGAAGGGCAGUAAGUUAAUACCUUGCUGUUUUGACGUUACCAACAGAAUAAGCACCGGCUAACUUCGUGCCAGCAGCCGCGGUAAUACGAAGGGUGCAAGCGUUAAUCGGAAUUACUGGGCGUAAAGCGCGCGUAGGUGGUUCGUUAAGUUGGAUGUGAAAAGCCCCGGGCUCAACCUGGGAACUGCAUCCAAAACUGGCGAGCUAGAGUAUGGCAGA